GGUCGCCAGCUCUCCUCAGGCCCUGCCUCAGCGAGUGGCGGCCAAGCACGGCCGGAGCUAGCACCGCAGCGCGAGCCUAGAGGGCGCCCCAAGCUGGACGGUUGGCGGGCAGCUCCGGCGUCUGCGGUGGGCCCUGCCCGCGCCCCUGCAGGCCCUGGGCCCCUCGCACAGGACGAGGACGCCGCCAGCCCAGCGGCCACUCACAUCUCCACACUGCUGACUGUCUGCGGCCAGGCUGCUGGCGGCUGUCUUGGCGGCGGUGACGUUGGCGGCCUUGGAGCAGGCGCUGAGGUACAGCUCCAUGGCUGGUCCCGGCCUUAGCCCCCAGGUUCAUCAUUCUUCCCUGAACCAGCGGUACUAAUUUAUUCUCUCGCAAAUGGACACGUGAAGGAGCCAGUUGUGCCAUAAUGUAGAUACUUUUUAUUUAUGCUUGAAAAGAAUUCUUGCUGAAGAACUAGAAAUAAAUUUUAUUUUUAUUUGAAGAACUCAACAUUUUUGCCAAGGGCAGAAAGCCAAAUCAUUUAGGCAAGCAGGAAUGAUUCAGCUGUGCUUUCUGGGCUGUACUUGGUGGGGUUGUACAUUCCAGGAGAGCACAGUAACCUUGAAUUCAGCAGAAAUGCUCUGAAGUGCCAUUUUCAAGACUUCAUGAAAGCAGCUAUUGAUAAAAGCAGAUAAGAUGGGGAAAGUUGGUUUCCUAAAAAACAAACAAAA